UAGGAGAAGAGAGAUGGAGAGGAGGUUGUGUUGUGUCUCUGAGCCCUGUUCCUCAUUGUAACCAACACCACUCCCAGGCUGUUGUGUCUCCUCUGAGCCCUGUUCCUCAGUGUAACCAACACCACUCCCAGGCUGUUGUGUCUCCUCUGAGCCCUGUUCCUCAGUGUAACCAACACCACUCCCAGGCUGUUGUGUCUCCUCUGAGCCCUGUUCCUCAUUGUAACCAACACCACUCCCAGGCUGUUGUGUCUCCUCUGAGCCCUGUUCCUCAGUGUAACCAACACCACUCCCAGGCCCGUUGUGUCUCCUCUGAGCCCUGUUCCUCAUUGUAACCAACACCACUCCCAGGCUGUUGUGUCUCCUCUGAGCCCUGUUCCUCAUUGUAACCAACACCACUCCCAGGCUGUUGUGUCUCCUCUGAGCCCUCUGUGAGAGCCAGUUUCACCAAAACAUCAGUGUUGGCGAGGCCCCUGGCCUCUGGGACUGGUGCCGUUGUGCAUCCGGUGGCGUCGUUCAUUAAAGCUUUGGGUUGUCAACAGCACCACAGUUGAGGGUUUUUGCCACAUUACUGUAUAAUGUGUUAUGGGUAAAAUCAUCUCUCUAGGCCCCAGUACUAUCAUGGUAUUAUGGGGAUUGCUAGCAGCGUCCGUUGGGGUUAACUGUUUACUAGCUGUGUUAACCUUCUCCUCCUUGUCGGUUAACUAGCGUUAGCUAGCGUUAACUAGCGUUGAAAAGACUAAGGCCGGGGUUACACUGAAGCUGCGUAAUAGUGCACUGUAACUGACUUUGAAAAGGGCUUUCCCAUUGGGCGGUAGUUACCGUGACUACGAUCUCCACAAACACCGCUUUGAAAAGCUGCAUUGUGGACGGCGCUCCAAGGAUUGAAUCCUGGCCGUGAAGUGUCUUUUUCCCAGGCCACAGCAGAGAAGAACAGGGUGAGGUUAAGAUGGGUUAGACCAGACUAGAUUAGAGCAGAGCAGAACCAGGUUAAGAUGGCUUAGACCAAAUGAGAGAAGAGCAGGGCAAGGUUAAGAUCAGUUAGACCAGACUAGACGAGAGCAGAGCCAGGUUAAGAUCAGUUAGACCAGACUAGAUGAGAGCAGAGCAGAGCCAGGUUAAGAUCAGUUAGACCAGACUAGACGAGAGCAGAGCCAGGUUAAGAUGGGUUAGACCAGACUAGACGAGAGCAGAGCCAGGUUAAGAUCAGUUAGACCAGACUAGACGAGAGCAGAGCCAGGUUAAGAUGGGUUAGACCAGACUAGACGAGAGCAGAGCCAGGUUAAGAUCAGUUAGACCAGACUAGACGAGAGCAGAGCCAGGUUAAGAUGGGUUAGACCAGACUAGACGAGAGCAGAGCCAGGUUAAGAUCAGUUAGACCAGACUAGACGAGAGCAGAGCCAGGUUAAGAUGGGUUAGACCAGACUAGACGAGAGCAGAGCCAGGUUAAGAUCAGUUAGACCAGACUAGACGAGAGCAGAGCCAGGUUAAGAUGGGUUAGACAAGACUAGACGAGAGCAGAGCCAGGUUAAGAUUGGUCAGACCAGACUAGACGAGAGCAGAGCCAGGUUAAGAUGAGUUAGACCAGACUAGACGAGAGCAGAGCUGUGCCAGGUUAAGAUGAGUUAGACCAGACUAGACGAGAGCAGAGCUGUGCCAGGUUAAGAUGAGUUAGACCAGACUAGACGAGAGCAGAGCGGAGCCAGGUUAAGAUGAGUUAGAACAGACUAGACGAGAGCAGAGCAGAGCCAGGGUAAGAUGAGUUAGACCAGACUAGACGAGAGCAGAGCUGUGCCAGGUUAAGAUGAGUUAGACCAGACUAGACGAGAGCAGAGCUGUGCCAGGUUAAGAUAAGUUAGACCAGACUAGACGAGAGCAGAGCUGUGCCAGGUUAAGAUAAGUUAGACCAGACUAGACGAGAGCAGAGCUGUGCCAGGUUAAGAUGAGUUAGACCAGACUAGACGAGAGCAGAGCGGAGCCAGGGUAAGAUGAGUUAGACCAGACUAGACGAGAGCAGAGCUGUGCCAGGUUAAGAUGAGUUAGACCAGACUAGACGAGAGCAGAGCAGAGCCAGGUUAAGAUGAGUUAGAACAGACUAGACGAGAGCAGAGCAGAGCCAGGGUAAGAUGAGUUAGACCAGACUAGACGAGAGCAGAGCUGUGCCAGGUUAAGAUGAGUUAGACCAGACUAGACGAGAGCAGAGCGGAGCCAGGGUAAGAUGAGUUAGACCAGACUAGACGAGAGCAGAGCGGAGCCAGGGUAAGAUGAGUUAGAUAGAGUACUAGAGGGCUAGUUAAUCCUAUUGAUCAUGGGACUGUUUCAUCGUGUUCACAGUGAUUACCCUCUAACUGCUACUCCAUUAAAGAAAGGACUUGUGUGCUGAGGGGAAGACUGGAUGUGGAAACACAGGACAUCUGGCCUUGUUGACGUUGUCUUGUUGUUGUUCUUCGAGGUUCUCUCUGUUCCUCAUGCUAUUAUUGGCUUUAACUAGCUACAGUAUAUAUGUGACUAUAAUGGAUAUAAACAGUGUUUUAACUAGGUACAGUAUAUAUGUGACUGUAUGGGCUACAAUAUGGAGGUAUUAUAACUCAGGCCCUAUAUGGACUACUAUAUGGAGGUAUUAUAACUCAGGCCCUAUAUGGACUACUAUAUGGAGGUAAUAUAACUCAGGCCCUAUAUGGACUACUAUAUGGAGGUAAUAUAACUCAGGCCCUAUAUGGACUACUAUAUGGAGGUAAUAUAACUCAGGCCCUAUAUGGACUACUAUAUGGAGGUAAUAUAACUCAGGCCCUAUAUGGACUACUAUAUGGAGGUAAUAUAACUCAGGCCCUAUAUGGACUACUAUAUGGAGGUAUUAUAACUCAGGCCCUAUAUGGAGGUAAUUUAACUCAGGCCCUAUAUGGACUACUAUAUGGAGGUAAUAUAACUCAGGCCCUAUAUGGACUACUAUAUGGAGGUAAUAUAACUCAGGCCCUAUAUGGACUACUAUAUGGAGGUAUUAUAACUCAGGCCCUAUAUGGAGGUAAUAUAACUCAGGCCCUAUAUGGACUACUAUAUGGAGGUUUUAUAACUCAGGCCCUAUAUGGACUACUAUAUGGAGGUAAUAUAACUCAGGCCCUAUAUGGACUACUAUAUGGAGGUAAUAUAACUCAGGCCCUAUAUGGACUACUAUAUGGAGGUAAUAUAACUCAGGCCCUAUAUGGAGGUAAUAUAACUCAGGCCCUAUAUGGACUACUAUAUGGAGGUUUUAUAACUCAGGCCCUAUAUGGACUACUAUAUGGAGGUAUUAUAACUCAGGCCCUA